AAUUAUUUUUAUUUUUUCAUUUACAGAUACAUACUUUUGAUCCAAAUUAACAUUCAUCGAUGAAUGACGGCGACAGCAAUGGCAUAAGUUUAGUGACAUCUAGGAUAGUUUAGAACGCUGUGAGGGUGGCAGUGAUGGACCCGGCGGCGUGAAGGUCCUGUGGUUGGCGAUUGAUUUCGUUUGGCCUCAGCCCUCGCAUCACCGUCGGUAGUACCUAUACGAUAUCACGUGUAGGUUUCUAAACAUCGCUGUCGCGCAAACGGCAUUGGCGAAGACAAUGGUUUGACGCGUCUAAGGCCAGUGGCGAUUUAUUUCGUCACUCGCGCCUUUGCCCAUGGCGUGUCUACUAGCGUCCGUAUGUGCAUUGGUGGUUGAAUAUCUACCGUCCCCUUGACUGGCCCGUGCUGGUCAUGGACGACGGUAGACUUACGUGGCCGAAGAAACUGUUGAAGUCGAAUUUCGACCGCUUUAGCUUUAUUGCCCGUAAGCGGCAUCACGUUAACGAGCUGUCGAAUGACCGUGGAACUCUGACCGAUAUCGGCUUCACGGCUGGUAUUGCGACGGCUGCGCACCGGUGGUAGAUAACCGCGUACCUUUGCACCGUUGGCAGCAGCCUAGACGUCCAAUGGCGGUUGUAAAACCGUCGUCACCACGGUUAGCGUUUCGCUGAUUGAGGAUGACGGCUGUCCAGUGUUUCAAAAGCCCAAGGUGAAGAUGAAUUUCAUCCACCUGAGCCUAUGAUAAUGCACUGGCGCCGUCGGACGUCAUUCAAAUAGGUUGUUGUAAAAACCGUUGUUGUAGUUGGAGCAAAGCUAGCUGUAUGCUGGUGGAGUGAUGACCAAUGAUGGACCAAUUGCGUAGAGGGCCGCAAACCUUCGGCCAUCGGGGGGCUCGAACGUAGCUAUGCACGCGUCAAUCAAUAGCGCUGCACUCCGACUAGGUGGUUCACCAGCGGUUGUGGGCGCUGAGCCAGGGGUAGAACGUAAUUGAGUUGAGAACUUUACUCCCCCCCCCCCCCACAGAGAAGAUGGAUAUCGUCUUCUCGCUCAUCGCGAAACAUUCUUAUCGGUUUCCCUGGUAGUGAGGUGGUAUAAUUUAACAACCGAGCACACAUAAAACCGCAUACAUACAAACAAACACUUUUCACAAGCAUUUCGACAAAUUAUUUAAGAACCAAAGUAUUUUACUUAGUAUUGAGAAUAGGAUAUCCCUGUUCCUAAUACUCUCUAAAAUACAAAAAGUUAGCAUGUAACUUGGCCGAAAAAUAAAAGUUAUAAAAAUAAAUAAAUAUAAUUUCAUCGGGUUCUAAAAAUGAUCGUGUGUAUUUUACCGUUCAAUUCUCGAGGUUUUAGAACAAUACAAAACAUUCAAACGGUCCGCGAUUAUUUUAUUAUAAAAUCCCAGAAGUAAUUUCCAGAUUACUUUUAUCAAGAACAUGAGCAAAACACACCUGCAUUUCUUGGAUUUCAAAUAGGAUGUGCCUAUUGCUGUCUUUUAUUUUUCAAAUAUUCAAUCAAUAAUAUAAUAAAUUAAGUGAGUACUUUUACGGUUUCAAAUACUAUUAGUAUUAGGUUAGACUGUCUUGAAAAUGAAAUAUAUUUUUAGAUACCUAUUAUAUAUAUUUAUAAUAAAUAUAUAAUAAUGACUUAAUAGGUUUUUAAUAGCUAUCAAUACACGAACAUUCAUCUUGUACUUAGCAACUUUUAUUAUAUAACAGUGUUAAUGAACCUAGGGACCUAUAUAGUUAUAUUGUAUAUGGAAUUUGGUAGUAUUCUCGAGUUAAAGCUAAAAUUACUAAGAGAGGUAAUAAUUUUAAUAAAUAUACAUAUAUGAUUAAUUCCUAAACCUUUGAGGUGACAGCUGACAUCAUCGUCAAAAAAAAUUUUCUUUCAAUUUAUCAGGAUAAAUAAAAGUAUAGUUGCGGGAACAAAAUGUAUAUGAUACAAUGAGAUAGAAAUUAAUAAUUAUUAUAUUGGUUGAAACAGAAUUAUAACCAUCAUCUAAACCUAAAUACAUGCAGAAUUAUCUAUAUUAUAUCAACAUAAUCGCCCUGGUGAUUGGCGUUAAACUCACCUCUCAUUCAAACAUACUUAGUUUGAUACAAAUUUGUCAGCCUUCCGAGUGAGAAGAGAGAGUGAAUACAUAAAGACGGUGAUUGUCGAAUACGAUUUAUAGCGCUUUAAUAGAGGACAUGUAUAAUGUAUUGAAUGAGUAAUGCGGAUGUAUUAUAAGAAUAUAAUAAUUGUUGUGUUGAAAUAUCACCAUAACCUUCAGUCAUUACGAAUCGACAACAACAUCGACGGUAAAAUCAGCGACUAAUCAGUUUCCAUCGGUAAUUUCAUCGAAAUCAACCAUCACAACAACCUACACCGAUUUACUUCAGUGACUUUUUCAUAGUGGAUGGCAUAGAAAGAGUAGAUUUGGUUUUGGAGAAGUCGCGCAGCCAAUGUACACCAAGACUUCUGGAGGGAGAUCCAUCGUCAUCGAAUUAAAGAUUCAACAGUUACAGUAUUAGAACAACUACAACUCAAGUUGGACCAACUACAAACAACAUUCAACUACUACAACCACAUAGAGAUCAUUAACAAAAAUAACGUUGACUUGGGCAUGCGUAAAAAGUCACAAUUUUCGCCCUGGUGAUGGCGUUAAACUCACCAUAUACUCGCCGUCCAAAAAAAUACAAUUAACAACUGUAGCUGAAGACAAAUGUUGUCCAGCAUCUACACUGGAAAAGAUCAGGUGAAGAAAUAUGGGCGGCGAGUAUCCCGGCGACGGGAAAGUGGAUUGGUAUUGGAUAUGUAAGGUAUAUGAUUAUAAUAAGUUGAAUGAUCGACCUUUUAACUACCUAUGUAUCUAAUAUCAACCAUUAAUUAGAAUUAUUUAUAAAAUUAAAAUUUAAUAAGAAACAUAAAGUCAUGAUGGAUUUUUCUAAAAGAAAGCGAAAAUUUGUCCAGACUAAAACCCAAAAAUUAUGUCUCCUUUUUUUGGAGACAUUAAACCUAGGAUGCCUACCUCAAACAUGAUAUUUCUUUUACUAACCCGUGGUUGAUAACAAAAUAUGUUGUACAGCUGCUGGUGCAAGAAAAAUAAUUGAAAUAUCAUGGACAUCGUAUAAUUAGUGUAUUAGUUAAAACAAUUAGUAGAUGGGAAUUAAAUAAGAAUUGUAACUUUUAAGUCGUAACAAAACAGCAUUUUAAGGAGAUUCGAUACGUGUCGUUUUUAAGGAGUUCAAUAUAGGCAAUUUUCUGUGUUUGUGUGCUGGUUGUAUAAAUAUGUAGGUGAUCAUAAUAAUAUUAUGUGUGAGUGACUGUGUAUAAAAUAAAUAGCAGAGUGUUCCCGUACAUGAACGAACAUAUCAACAACGCAUGACACAAAUAUUAAUUGUUUUGUACUUUUUUGGUCAAAAGUAUCAAUCUUUUGCCAAUCAUAUUAAAUAACUUACUAUCCGAUAAAAUUUCUGAAAACCUAUUUGAAUUUGU
rnacentral:lncRNA from 1 species